UGCUGCCCACCCGCAGCAGCCACCCCCCUGAGACUGGGGCACUCUGGCGGGCCUGAGAGGACUGGGCGCUGCUAUCUUGUGGCUAUGGGUGUUGCCAUAUUUGUGACAGAGUGACAGUUAAUUUGCAUAUUACCCUUUUAUUAGAUAGG